GAUCUGGCUCAGAUUGAACGCUGGCGGCAGGCCUAACACAUGCAAGUCGAACGGUAACAGGAAGAAGCUUGCUUCUUUGCUGACGAGUGGCGGACGGGUGAGUAAUGUCUGGGAAACUGCCUGAUGGAGGGGGAUAACUACUGGAAACGGUAGCUAAUACCGCAUAACGUCGCAAGACCAAAGAGGGGGACCUUCGGGCCUCUUGCCAUCGGAUGUGCCCAGAUGGGAUUAGCUAGUAGGUGGGGUAACGGCUCACCUAGGCGACGAUCCCUAGCUGGUCUGAGAGGAUGACCAGCCACACUGGAACUGAGACACGGUCCAGACUCCUACGGGAGGCAGCAGUGGGGAAUAUUGCACAAUGGGCGCAAGCCUGAUGCAGCCAUGCCGCGUGUAUGAAGAAGGCCUUCGGGUUGUAAAUAACUUUCAGCGGGGAGGAAAGGAGUAAAGUUAAUACCUUUGCUCAUUGACGUUACCCGCAGAAGAAUCACCGGCUAACUCCGUGCCAGCAGCCGCGGUAAUACUGAGGGUGCAAGCGUUAAUCGGAAUUACUGGGCGUAAAGCGCACGCAGGCGGUUUGUUAACUCACAUGUGAAAUCCCCGGGCUCAACCUGAGAACUGCAUCUGAUACUGGCAAGCUUGAGUCUCGUACAGGGGGGUAGAAUUCCANGUGUAGCGGUGAAAUGCGUAGAGAUCUGGAGGAAUACCGGUGGCGAAGGCGGCCCCCUGGACGAAGACUGACGCUCAGGUGCGAAAGCGUGGGGAGCAAACAGGAUUAGAUACCCUGGUAGUCCACGCCGUAAACGAUGUCGACUUGGAGGUUGUGCCCUUGAGGCGUGGCUUCCGGAGCUAACGCGUUAAGUCGACCGCCUGGGGAGUACGGCCGCAAGGUUAAAACUCAAAUGAAUUGACGGGGGCCCGCACAAGCGGUGGAGCAUGUGGUUUAAUUCGAUGCAACGCGAAGAACCUUACCUGGUCUUGACAUCCACGGAAGUUUUCAGAGAUGAGAAUGUGCCUUCGGGAACCGUGAGACAGGUGCUGCAUGGCUGUCGUCAGCUCGUGUUGUGAAAUGUUGGGUUAAGUCCCGCAACGAGCGCAACCCUUAUCCUUUGUUGCCAGCGGUCCGGCCGGGAACUCAAAGGAGACUGUUAGUGAUAAACUGGAGGAAGGUGGGGAUGAUGUCAAGUCAUCAUGGCCCUUACGACCAGGGCUACACACGUGCUACAAUGGCGCAUACAAAGAGAAGCGACCUCGCGAGAGCAAGCGGACCUCAUAAAGUGCGUCGUAGUCCGGAUUGGAGUCUGCAACUCGACUCCAUGAAGUCGGAAUCGCUAGUAAUCGUGGAUCAGAAUGCCACGGUGAAUACGUUCCCGGGCCUUGUACACACCGCCCGUCACACCAUGGGAGUGGGUUGCAAAAGAAGUAGGUAGCUUAACCUUCGGGAGGGCGCUUACCACUUUGUGAUUCAUGACUGGGGUGAAGUCGUAACAAGGUAACCAA
rnacentral:rRNA from 1 species